UGGAAAUCAAAACAUUAACCUGAAAUAUGAAAAAUUAUUCCUAGCAAAUUAAUAAAAUAACUAAUACAAAACAUGAAUUGUAGUGAAGACCGAAGAACUGCCAAUGUGAUAGCUCAGGCGCCUGGAGUAGAAUGUCUUACUGUCGACAGAGAUUCCUUUAGUAAGCUCAUCGGGGACUUGAAAGAACUACAGGAAAAAGACUACGGCGAUGAAGCGCGAGGAGCACAAAGGCUCUCAGAACAUAAGAAUGACUCCCAAGAACAGAGGU